rnacentral:sRNA from 1 species
AUGUGUGGUGUGGCUGGCCCUGCUGGCGGCAGCUCCGGAAACCAGGCCUGGCCUGGGGCCUGUGGCUCUAAGGGCUGGGGGAAGGGGCCGGUGACCCAUAGGCCUAUGAGGCUGAGCGCACUGGAACAGGACUGGAACUCUUACCCCAACUCGACACAUUCCCAAAGUACUCUGAGCCGGGCUCUGGGGUUCAGGCUGGGUUGUGGGAGACAAAGGUUCCUCUCCAGGUGAAGGUGGAGACCUUGGUUCAGAAUACUUCAGGUCCUUGCAGGGGUCUUCCCAAAGAUGUCUGAAAAAGGCAGACUGUGGGCAGGCUUUGGUUCCCAGGGAUGGGUGUGUAUGUGUGUGCUGAGAUCUCCACACAGCACCCCUGGAUCCCUUGACCUCAGGAUGCCUUCGGAACUUUAAAGGGUAUUUUGAUGCAGUGGUUGUUACCAUGGGCUCUGGGUGCACAGGGAUCUGGCCUUGUCUCUGGUUGGUUUGCUCCAGACUGUUUUACAGGAGGAAAACUGCUCAUCUUCUUUGAGCCCUCUCUCAGCCCUCACCUGCCUGUGAACUGCACAAAGGAGCUGCACUGGCUGAGAGAGAGGAAGGCUGGAUGGAUGCUUGUAGCUCCGCUCUACUGAUGUGCCAGCCCUAAUCCUCAGACCUCAGCCCUGACCCAUGUGUUGUGUCAGAGAGCUCAGAGUACACAGAGAACUGGCUCCUGACCAUUCAGAUCAGCAAGCUGGAAACCGAGAAAGACAAUGUUUUAGCUCAAAUCUGAAGGUACGAGGAAGCAGAUAACACAGUUCCGAGGCAGCAGGCAGGAAGCACUCUCCUUCCCUCCUGGGAUGCUUUUUCAACUCUUCUUACAUCUGACUGGUUGGAUGAACUGCCGCCCAUCCCCCAGCCUCCCACCCUAACCCUCCAUGAUGUUGCAGCUAUGUAAGUGUGUGUAGAAUGUGCUCUACAUGCAGGCCUGGUGCUCCCAGGGCCAGAAGAGAGCGUCUGGACUUAUGGAUGAUGAUGAGCUGCCAGGUGGGUGCUGGGAACA